rnacentral:rRNA from 1 species
GACGAACGCUGGCGGCGUGCUUAACACAUGCAAGUCGAACGGUGAAGGGACUGGUUUUGCUGGUCCUGGAUGAGUGGCGAACGGGUGAGUAACACGUGAGUAACCUGCCCCCUUCUUCUGGAUAACCGCAUGAAAGUGUGGCUAAUACGGGAUAUUCUGGGUCUGUCGCAUGGUGGGCCUGGGAAAGAUUGCGCCUUUUUUGGUGUUUUUGGUGGGGGAUGGGCUCGCGGCCUAUCAGCUUGUUGGUGGGGUGAUGGCCUACCAAGGCGGUGACGGGUAGCCGGCCUGAGAGGGUGGACGGUCACACUGGGACUGAGACACGGCCCAGACUCCUACGGGAGGCAGCAGUGGGGAAUAUUGCACAAUGGGCGCAAGCCUGAUGCAGCGACGCCGCGUGAGGGAUGGAGGCCUUCGGGUUGUGAACCUCUUUCGCCAGUGAAGCAGGCCUGCCUCUUUUUGUGGGUGGGUUGACGGUAGCUGGAUAAGAAGCGCCGGCUAACUACGCG